rnacentral:tRNA from 1 species
CCUUUCUAAGGAUGAUCAAGAAUUGGAAGCCUUUCAAAAAAGAAAUCUUUAUAAAUAGAGAAAUCUUUAUAAAAAGUCCCUUCCUUUUUGAUCUGAUUAGACAUAAAGGUUUAAAUCCGUCCGUUUAAAUAACCAGACAGUUUAAACCUUGUGCAUAUGAACACGCAGUUGAAAAAUGGUUCUUUCUUUCAAAGAGGCCCCUACCUCUCAUGAGAGAAACGUCCUUUCCAAGCUGCUGUGCUCAUGUGUUAAGUUAUACAAGCAGGCUAGCCGUCUUCGUUUCUCUUUCUUCAGAUGAUGAUCCCAAGCCUUCUGGCGAUCUAGAAAAAACAAGCCCUGUCUUGAGUUUUCAGAGACAACACUGCUGUUUUUAUAAAAUGAUGUGGUUUUUAUAAAAUAAGGUGUUUUUAUCAGAUAAUGCCGGGGAAGGUUUUCCGGUUUAUCCCGGAGGGCUUGUAGCUCAGUUGGUUAGAGCGCGCGCUUGAUAAGCGUGAGGUCGGAGGUUCAAGUCCUCCCAGGCCCACCAAUUAUUCCAUCCCGUUAGGCAGUGCUUAUGACACUUUUAUAGAAGGAUAUAAAUAUAAAAGGAUAGAAAAGCGUUCUGUAUAAAAGGCUAAAAGAGUUCUAUAUAAAGGAUUGGACGCUUAUCCGUUUCGCUUAAGCACGCCAAAGUUAAAGCGGCUCAAACACAGAGCAAUGCAAAUUUUUCCGAAGUUUGCACUGUCUAUUUUAAAAAUGAGAAUCUGUUUUAACAGUUUGGAUGUUUUAUCCUGUUUUAGGGGCCGUAGCUCAGCUGGGAGAGCACCUGCUUUGCAAGCAGGGGGUCGUCGGUUCGAUCCCGUCCGGCUCCACCAUUUGGUCAUCAUCAUUGUUGUGAGAACAGUCUUUGUAAAAGGUUUUUUGACCUUUUGCGUGUUCUAUUGAAAUUGUGAAGAGAAGAUAUAUUCAGACAAGUUCCUUUUGAGAGGUUGCUUCUGAAGAGCAAGUUUUUUCUUAAGAAAAAUGCUUUCUUGAGAAAAAGGUUUGUUGUCAGAAAAAGGUUUUUAAACAAGAUCUUGUAAAAGAGGUUUUGAAAAAGAAACCUUGCUCUCCUUUAUCUAAAGAAGAAACCUUUAUCUAAAAAAGAGACAUUGUGUCGCAAGGGAAUGCUCAAAGCCCUUGCUUAUGAUUGGAAGCUUAACCGCGCCACUGAGUAUAUCUCGAGAAGCUGGUCUUUUCUGCUGAUAUUUAUGUUUGUUUUGCGCUUUAUUUUGCACAAGAUGAAGAUGCAGACAAACAACAAAUGAUUAUAAACGAAGUGACUAUACAAUAAGUGAUUACGAAGAGUGAGUACUU